AUGCAGCUAAUCGAUGAUAUUGCAAACAGGAACAUCUAUCUGGAAGACUUUGCCAUCCACGAAGAAUUUCUCUUCCAUUUGAAAUCUGAGCCGGAUCUCUUCCACCAUGGUGCAGAAGGUCUUCACCAAGGGCAUGUGUCCCUGUUUUAUGCCUCUGCUGCGUAUGAUAAGAGAGUCAUUGAGACAGAUGAGGGAUCUGAGGCAAACAGAAAGAACUUGAUAAGAAUGUUACUGUCCAUCUCUAGAGAAGAUGCUUAUCUGCAGCCAUAACAACUCAUUUCUGAUCUUCCCCACAUCCACAAAGGUAGGAGGUUAUGGGUUUUAAAGGUUCUCUUGGCUGUCACCAAGGUAAAAAGUGUCAAUAAUUCAACUUUAAGAUAAAUUUUCCAUGACCAGUGUCUAUAGCAAGUCUAAAUACCUAAAGUCUUCUAAUCGUAGUACUGUUUACGAAAAUAUUUGUGGAAAGAUUUUGGGAACUCCUCUGGCAUUUAUUUCAUUGGGGAGAUAUGUUUCUAAUUAGGAGAGCAAAGCUUAUGGUUAAAGUGAACUGAUGGCUAUAGAGGUUACAUAAACUCCAGUUGAUGGUUUUUUGAUAUUAUUCUGCAUUUUCUCUAAUUUAAUUAUUUUGUUUUGCCUAUGAUGUUGAGGUUUAAGUGAUUAAAACAACAGUUGGAUCCAAUUAAAAAAAAAAAGGCAUUUCCAAUGGGAUAGGAUGAAACCAAUGAUUGAUAAGCAAGCUUACAUAGAACCUAAGGGCAAUAGAAAAAGGAAAUGCUCAAGGCGAUUGACAAUCUACCUCAGAUCACACCUCUUUCAUAUGUCUGUUGCAUGAAGGAUAGCUAUCAUAUGUGGGAAUAUAGUAAUAAUUUCUAAUUCUUGGGACAAUCAUUCUUUUUCCAGUGAGUUUCUCUCAAACUGUUUUUUUUUUCCCAUUCACACCCAGCCUUUACAUUAUCACCUACCAUAAUGUGCCACUCACUACUACACUAUACUAGAAAGGAUUGCUUCCAUGAUCUUUUGCCAUGCUGAAUUUGCUAAUCCUCAACCCUGGGAAACUCCAUCAUCUGAUUUUUCUGCUGAUGUUCCAGGGUUGUGGAAUGUUGCUAAAGUCACAAAAUCCAGCUGAUUUCACCUUCAACAAUUUAUGGUAAAGAGAGAAACUGGAGUCAGGAAAACGUGGGUUCUAGUCUUACUUCUCACACUAUGCAACUAAGGGCUAGUUACUUAAACCUCUCAGAGCCCAGGGAAAAUCUAUAAGGAUAUAAAUUAU
rnacentral:lncRNA from 1 species